rnacentral:rRNA from 1 species
AUUGAACGCUGGCGGCAGGCCUAACACAUGCAAGUCGAACGAGUGGCGGACGGGUGAGGAAUGUCUGGGAAACUGCCCGAUGGAGGGGGAUAACUACUGGAAUCGGUAGCUAAUACCGCAUACCAUCGGAGCUGCCCAAAUGGGAUUAGCUAGUAGGUGGGGUAACGGCUAACCUAGGCGACGAGCCAUAGCUGUGCUGAGAGGAUGACCAGCCACACUGGAACUGAGACACGUUCCAGACUCCUACGGGAGGCAGCAGUGGGGAAGCUUGCACAAUGGGCGCAAGCCUGAUGCAGCCAUGCCGCGUGUAUGAAGAAGGCCUUCGGAUUGUAAAGUACUUUCAGCGAGGAGGCGUUACUCGCAGAAGAAGCACCGGCUAACUCCGUGCCAGCCGCCGCGGUAAUAC